ensembl:lincRNA
CUUGCUUAGCAACAGAGAGGCCUGGGGCAAACAGAGCUGUGGGCAACCACACCCCCGCCGCAGGAAUGCGCCAGCGUUCCUGGGGGCUGCCGUGGCACCCGCUGUGGCCAGAUGGGGGCAGGUAGGCACCUUGGUUCCCUGCCACCUUGGCGCUGGCAGGAAGGAGCCCUCACACCCAGGCCUGGGAGGUUCCCUAGGCCACCGGAGGGAAGGGGUCAGAAGAAGGUGGACAGGGCCAUCUGAAGCACCGAGGAAGCUGGUUUAUGAAAAGAGGCCUUGACCAAGGAUUUAGCCCAGCAGCACAAGCGCCUGCCUGGCAAGCACAAGAUUGUGAGUUCGAUCCUCAGUACCAAAAAAAAAGGAAGGAAGGAAAGAAAGAAAAGAAAAGAAAGAGGCCUUUCCUUGGAGCUGGGCAGGGCCCUGGAUUUGCACCCCGGAUUCUGUCUCUGCUGUGUGAUCUUGGGUACACACCAGAUCUGGUCUUCCGUUUCCUGUUACAAGUUGAGUAUCCUUUGCCAGGAAUACUUGGGCAUUAACUGGUUGAGAGGCUUUAGAGUUUGGGGAUUUUGGAAUAUGCAAAUAUGAGAAUCUCUAACUAAUGUGAAAAUCCAAAAUGCCUCCAAAUUCAAAUUUCUGUUUUUUCUCAGGACCUUGUACUUGCCAGGCAGGCGCUUGUACUGCUGAGCUAUCUCUCUGGCCUCCACAUUUAAAUUCCUUGAACAUUAUGUUGGUGCUCAAAGUUUCAGAUUUUGGAUUUCCAGACAAUCAAGUUGUUUCAACUGUUCUGUGCACAAGAAGGUGACCCGAGCGGCAGACGCUUCCUGUCCAGGGCAAGAGACUGUCCUGAUCGUCCCUUUGGCCCAGGGAUUAAAGGUCUGCAGGCCAGCAUGCCCUGUUCUCAGACACCACCAUCAGUUCCAUAAAUAUUUACCAAGCACCUCAAGUAACCUCCCUGGGGCGGGGCGGGUGCAUCUGCUGACUGAAUUCAUCCGUUCAUUCCCCCCUGCACCCCUUCAGUCGAUACGUGGCUCCCAUGUGCCCCUGGAGGCUGCGAAGAUGACAGAACCAAGACUAUCCUGCUCUAAGUCUGGGCCCCGCCAUGUGCUUCCAGCACUACCCAGACAGAGCUCAACCUUCUCAAGUAUACAGGGACCGCCCUGGAGGGUGCCUUCCAGCCCCGGCCAGGAGGGAGCUAGUGAGACCUUUGUUGUGCACAGGAGAGAAGUGAAGCCCAGAGUUUAUGCAUUUAUUCAUCAAUUUUGGUCGAUGGGGACAGAGUUUCAGGGUAGGAAGAUGAAAAAUGGUUAGCGGUGAUGGCUGUACCACAACAGGAACACACAGGAAGUCACUGAGCUUACUUCAAAGUGAAUAAAAUGAAGCCAGACAUGGUGGUGCACAUGGAAUCUCAGCACUUGGGAGGCUGAGGCAGGAAGGCCAGAAAUUCAAGGGCUGAGGUGCAGGGGAGACCAAGGCCAGCCUUGUAAAGCUGUGUGUGUGUGUGUGUGUGUGUGUGUGUGUGUGUGUGUGUGUAUGUGUGUGUGUAUUUUUUUGGUACCAGGGAUCAAACUCACGACCGCCUGCUUGCAAGGCAGGUACUUACGCCGCUGAGCUAAAUCCCCAGCCCCCAGCUGUGUAUAUUUUUACCACAAUUAAAAGAACCA